UCGAGAGUUCAAAGAUUGACGUUUCAAAUCAAUCAAUGGUUUGAUAUCCGAAAAUCGCGAGCACAUAUGGUUUAUUUAAUAAUAAUUAGAAUAAGUAUGAAAUAUUAGUUAUUUUGGAGUUAGGGGAGUUAUUUAAUAUUUAUUAAAAUUAAUAGGGAGUUAAUGGAAAUAUUAGGGAGUUAAGUUAGAGGGAAGUUGGGAAAUAGAUGUCAGAAGCAGUUUACGUGAAACCAAGCCAAGGGAGAGAAAACCAGGAACAAGAGAGGAGAACCAAGAGUUGAUCAUUGCUGUGCAUUUCUUCUUCAAUUUCUAAGGUGAUCCUGAGUAGUUGGUGGUGGCUCAAAGUCGUGUCUAGGGCUCUGAUACGUGGGAUGGGAUUUAUCUUUAUUGUGAUUGUUGCUUUUCCUUUCCAUGUAUCAAAUUUUGGAACUUGUGGUGUGGAGCCUUUUAUUGUCUUUUGA
rnacentral:lncRNA from 1 species